UACGUAGGGAGCAAGCGUUGUCCGGAAUCAUUGGGCGUAAAGCGCGCGUAGGUGGCCCUGUAAGUCCAUUGUGAAAGUCAAAGGCUCAACCUUUGAAAGCCGAUGGAUACUGCAGGACUAGAGUACGGAAGAGGCGAGUGGAAUUCCUGGUGUAGCGGUGGAAUGCGCAGAUAUCAGGAGGAACACCAAUAGCGAAGGCAGCUCGCUGGGACGUUACUGACACUGAGGCGCGAAAGCUAGGGGAGCAAACAGG
rnacentral:rRNA from 1 species